AUUGAACGCUGGCGGCAUGCUUUACACAUGCAAGUCGAACGGCAGCGCGGGCUUCGGCCUGUCUGCGAGUGGCGAACGGGUGAGUAAUGCAUCGGAACGUGCCCAGUUGUGGGGGAUAGCCCGGCGAAAGCCGGAUUAAUACCGCAUACGACCUGAGGGUGAAAGCGGGGGACCGAAAGGCCUCGCGCUAUUGGAGCGGCCGAUGUCGGAUUAGCUAGUUGGUGGGGUAAAGGCUUACCAAGGCGACGAUCCGUAGCUGGUCUGAGAGGACGACCAGCCACACUGGGACUGAGACACGGCCCAGACUCCUACGGGAGGCAGCAGUGGGGAAUUUUGGACAAUGGGGGCAACCCUGAUCCAGCCAUGCCGCGUGCGUGAAGAAGGCCUUCGGGUUGUAAACCGCUUUUGUUCGGGAAGAAAUCCUCUGGGCUAAUACCCCGGGGGGAUGACGGUACCGGAAGAAUAAGCACCGGCUAACUACGUG
rnacentral:rRNA from 1 species